rnacentral:rRNA from 1 species
GAUGAACGCUGGCGGCGUGCCUAAUACAUGCAAGUCGAGCGAACAGACGAGGAGCUUGCUCCUCUGACGUUAGCGGCGGACGGGUGAGUAACACGUGGAUAACCUACCUAUAAGACUGGGAUAACUUCGGGAAACCGGAGCUAAUACCGGAUAAUAUAUUGAACCGCAUGGUUCAAUAGUGAAAGACGGUUUUGCUGUCACUUAUAGAUGGAUCCGCGCCGCAUUAGCUAGUUGGUAAGGUAACGGCUUACCAAGGCAACGAUGCGUAGCCGACCUGAGAGGGGGAUCGGCCACACUGGAACUGAGACACGGUCCAGAAUCCUACGGGAGGCAGCAGUAGGGAAUCUUCCGCAAUGGGCGAAAGCCUGACGGAGCAACGCCGCGUGAGUGAUGAAGGUCUUCGGAUCGUAAAACUCUGUUAUUAGGGAAGAACAAAUGUGUAAGUAACUAUGCACGUCUUGACGGUACCUAAUCAGAAAGCCACGGCUAACUACGUG